AGAGCGAACGCUGGCGGCGUACUUAACACAUGCAAGUCGAACGAGGAUCGUCGGGUUAGCAAUAAUUCGGCGGUUCUAGUGGCGUACGGGUGAGUAACACGUGGGCAACUUGCCCUAGAGACCGGGAUACCCUCUCGAAAGGGAGGCUAAUACUGGAUACGUUCUUCGGGUCGCAAGAUCUGGAGAGGAAAGGUGGCGCAAGCUACCGCUCUUGGAGAGGCUCGCGGCCUAUCAGCUAGUUGGUGAGGUAACGGCUCACCAAGGCUAUGACGGGUAGCUGGUCUGAGAGGACGACCAGCCACACGGGAACUGAGACACGGUCCCGACUCCUACGGGAGGCAGCAGUGGGAAUUUUCGCAAUGGGCGAAAGCCUGACGGAGUGACGCCGCGUGGGGGACGAAGGCCUUCGGGUUGUAAACCCCUGUCAGAGGAAGAAGGUGUCGGCGUGAGUAACCGCCGGCACGUUGACGGUACCUUCAGAGGAAGCCCCGGCCAACUCUGUGCCAGCAGCCGCGUAAUC
rnacentral:rRNA from 1 species